GAGUUUGAUCGUGGCUCAGAACGAACGCUGGCGGCAGGCCUAACACAUGCAAGUCGAACGCCCUAGCAAUAGGGAGUGGCAGACGGGUGAGUAACGCGUGGGAACCUUCCCAGUGGUACGGAAUAGCCCAGGGAAACUUGGAGUAAUACCGUAUAAUACCCGAAAGGGGAAAGAUUUAUCGCCAUUGGAUGGGCCCGCGUUGGAUUAGCUAGUUGGUGAGGUAAUGGCUCACCAAGGCGACGAUCCAUAGCUGGUCUGAGAGGAUGAUCAGCCACACUGGGACUGAGACACGGCCCAGACUCCUACGGGAGGCAGCAGUGGGGAAUAUUGGGCAAUGGGCGAAAGCCUGACCCAGCCAUGCCGCGUGAGUGACGAAGGCCUUAGGGUUGUAAAGCUCUUUUGGCGGGGACGAUAAUGACGGUACCCGCAGAAUAAGCCCCGGCUAACUUCGUGCCAGCAGCCGCUGUAAC
rnacentral:rRNA from 1 species